UAGAGGCCUACCAUGGUGGUAACGGGUAACGGGGUGUUAGGGCACGACACCGGAGAGGGAGCCUGAGAAACGGCUACCACAUCCAAGGAUGGCAGCAGGCGCGCAAAUUACCCAAUCCCGACACGGGGAGGUAGUGACAAUAAAUAACAAUACGGGGUUCUUUCGGAUCUCGUAAUUGGAAUGAGUACAAUUUAAAUCUCUUAACGAGGAACAAUUGGAGGGCAAGUCUGGUGCCAGCAGCCGCGGUAAUUCCAGCUCCAAUAGCGUAUAUUAAAGUUGUUGCAGUUAAAAAACUCGUAGUUGAAUUUCGGGGUUAGUAGGUUGGUCAUGCCUCUGGUAUGUACUGGUCUCACUGAUUCCUCCUUCCUUAUGAACCGUAAUGCCAUUAAUUUGGUGUUGCGGGGAAUUUGGACUGUUACUUUGAAAAAAUUAGAGUGUUUAAAGCAAGCUAACGCUUGAAUACAUUAGCAUGGAAUAAUGAAAUAGGACGUUCGAUCUUAUUUUGUUGGUUUCUAGGAUUGACGUAAUGAUUAAUAGGGAUAGUUGGGGGCAUUAGUAUUCAAUUGUCAGAGGUGAAAUUCUUGGAUUUAUUGAAGACUAACUACUGCGAAAGCAUUUGCCAAGGAUGUUUUCAUUAAUCAAGAACGAAAGUUAGGGGAUCGAAGACGAUCAGAUACCGUCGUAGUCUUAACCAUAAACUAUGCCGACUAGGGAUCGG
rnacentral:rRNA from 1 species